rnacentral:rRNA from 1 species
UACGUAGGGUGCAAGCGUUGUUCGGAAUUAUUGGGCGUAAAGAGCUCGUAGGCGGUUUGUCGCGUCUGCUGUGAAAACCUAAGGCUCAACCUUGGGCUUGCAGUGGGUACGGGCAGGCUAGAGUGCGGUAGGGGUGAGUGGAAUUCCUGGUGUAGCAGUGGAAUGCGCAGAUAUCAGGAGGAACACCGAUGGCGAAGGCAGGUCACUGGGCCGCAACUGACGCUGAGGAGCGAAAGCAUGGGGAGCGAACAGG